rnacentral:rRNA from 1 species
GAUGAACGCUAGCUACAGGCUUAACACAUGCAAGUCGAGGGGCAGCAUGGUCUUAGCUUGCUAAGGCCGAUGGCGACCGGCGCACGGGUGAGUAACACGUAUCCAACCUGCCGUCUACUCUUGGACAGCCUUCUGAAAGGAAGAUUAAUACAAGAUGGCAUCAUGAGUCCACAUGUUCACAUGAUUAAAGGUAUUCCGGUAGACGAUGGGGAUGCGUUCCAUUAGAUAGUAGGCGGGGUAACGGCCCACCUAGUCUUCGAUGGAUAGGGGUUCUGAGAGGAAGGUCCCCCACAUUGGAACUGAGACACGGUCCAAACUCCUACGGGAGGCAGCAGUGAGGAAUAUUGGUCAAUGGGCGAGAGCCUGAACCAGCCAAGUAGCGUGAAGGAUGACUGCCCUAUGGGUUGUAAACUUCUUUUAUAAAGGAAUAAAGUCGGGUAUGGAUACCCGU